rnacentral:rRNA from 1 species
GACGAACGCUGGCGGCGUGCUUAACACAUGCAAGUCGAACGGAAAGGCCCUGCUCUUGCGGGUUGCUCGUUUGGCGAACGCGUGAGUAUCACGUGUGUAUCCUGCCCUUGACUUUGUGAUAACACUAGGAAACUGGGGCUAUUACCGGAUAGGAGCUCCUGCUGCACGGUGUGGGUUGGAAAGUUUCGGCGGUUGGGGAUGGACUCGCGGCUUAUGAGCUUGUUGGUGUGGUAGUGGCUUACCAAGGCUUUGACGGGUAGCCGGCCUGAGAGGGUGACCGGCCACAUUGGGACUGAGAUACGGCCCAGACUCCUACGGGAGGCAGCAGUGGGGAAUAUUGCACAAUGGGCGGAAGCCUGAUGCAGCAACGCCGCGUGCGGGAUGACGGCCUUCGGGUUGUAAACCGCUUUCGCCUGUGACGAAGCGUGAGUGACGGUAAUGGGUAAAGAAGCACCGGCUAACUACGUG